rnacentral:rRNA from 1 species
CUUGCGCAAUGGGCGAAAGCCUGACGCAGCCAUGCCGCGUGAAUGAUGAAGGUCUNAGNNUUGUANANUUCUUUCACCGGGGANNNNNAUGACGGUACCCGGAGAAGAAGCCCCGGCUAACUUCGUGCCAGCAGCCGCGGUAAUACGAAGGGGGCUAGCGUUGCUCGGAAUUACUGGGCGUAAAGGGCGCGUAGGCGGAUCGUUAAGUCAGGGGUGAAAUCCCGGGGCUCAACCUCGGAACUGCCCUUGAUACUGGCGAUCUUGAGUAUGAGAGGGGUAUGUGGAACUCCGAGUGUAGAGGUGAAAUUCGUAGAUAUUCGGAAGAACACCAGUGGCGAAGGCGACAUACUGGCUCAUUACUGACGCUGAGGCGCGAAAGCGUGGGGAGCAAACA